rnacentral:lncRNA from 7 species
ACCGCGGCCCCGGCAGCGGCGUGCGGGAGAUGGAAGGCGGCGGGCGGCGGGCAGCCGGCGCGGGAGCGGUGCGCGGUAACGGAGAGCCGCGUACGGCAACGGGAGGAACAGUGCGCGGUGAAGGGAGGGCUGAGAACGCGGAGCGCACCGAGGCCGGGAGAAACCGGGACGGAGCGGCGCACAGCGGUCGGUAAUGAGCUCAAUUCCAGCACAGCAUCCCCGCGGUGUCCCGCUCUGCUCGAGCCCGUUCCCAGCAGAAGGAGCUGCUUUGGGGCUGUUGCCAUUGCUCCCCGUGCUCUCGCAUUCCCCCUGAGGGCUGCGCAUGGGACCGGCAUCGCUGCACUGGGACCAUGCGUGUGCAUGAAUCUGUGAGCCGUGACAUAACCACAGCGCUGCCCACCUCGCCCUGCCUGGCUCCGGCUGCACCCCGGGUGCCCGGCUGCAUCGUGCUCCAUGCACACGGCUGCCGCUGUGUCACCAGCCUGGGGACAUGGCCUCCAAAGGGACCUUGUGCCGAGCCCCCGUGCGGGCUCCCUGUGGCUCUGCAGACUCCUCCGGCUCAGCACAAGCGGUGAGCGACAGCCCUUGUGGUCGAUGGCACUGCUGGUGGCGGGGCUGGGGGACACACGGCGGUAACACAGCACUGGGCAGCGGCAGAGCUGCGGGUUUGGGGCACCGAGAUGGGGACGGAGCUGCCGUGUCCUCACGUCCCUGUCCCCUCCGGUGUCCCCGUCCCUUCCGGGGCCCAGCCCAGCGCUGCGUUCUGCUAAUGGGAGAAGGGCAGCUUUGUGCUGUGCUCCCAAGAAAAAAGGCAGCAGCUGAACUCCUAUUCGCUGUCCCAUUGUAUCGGACGUGGUAAUAAUCGGGUUUGCUAAUGCAAUCGUCGCUACGAUGCGAAAAUCCUACUGGAAAAUGUAUUAGAGCAAUUAUCCGUCUCACUCCGCAGCCGGGUGUAGCAUUAAUAUUCAAUUUUGAUGUGCUAGUCCUAUUAUGUUAAUGACUUUGGU